GGGGGCGUAGCUCAGUUGGUAGAGCAGCGGCCUUUUAAGCCGUAGGUCGUGGGUUCGAAUCCCACCGCCCUCA
rnacentral:tRNA from 1 species